rnacentral:rRNA from 1 species
AAGGAUUUAAAAGUCGAACAGACUUAUUUACUAAACGACUACACCUAGUAAUACUCCUUAAUCCAACAUCGAGGUCGCAAUCUUUUUUAUUGAUAAGAACUCUCAAAAAUAAUUACG